CGUAGCUCAGCUGGUUAGAGCACAUCACUCAUAAUGAUGGGGUCACAGGUUCGAAUCCCGUCGUAGCCACCA
rnacentral:tRNA from 3 species